AUGCUGUUUUCUCUUUUCUCUCUCUCUCUCUUUCUCUCUCUCUCUCUCUUUUUUUUUCUUUUUUUCCCUCCAGGGAGUGUUAGCACUGAAAAAGAUCACUUUAAACAAACACACUUUCGUUUUACUUUCCAGAGUAAAAUGAACAUAUAUAUAUAUGUGUAUAUAUAUAUAUAUACACACACACAUAUAUAUAUACACACACAUAUAUUCUUUUGGUUCUGGCCAGAACGUUUUGAGCCAACAUUACCUCGGUGCAUUCUAAAUAACUGCACUAUCUGCAUUAGAGUAAACUGCACUGUGGCCUCAGACACUAAGAAGUCAAACUGGAGUAUAUUAAGCUGGACUGUAAAUGAAGAUGAAUACAUGUCUCAGCAGAAGGAUCAGCCAUAGGAGACAAAUUAAAGAUUGCUUUUCCUUUUCUUGGCAGAAGAUUCUGCUCUCUGAUUUCACGAAGGACCUUAUAGAUGGAAUCUUGUAACAUAAAACUAGAGAAAUAUGGUAAAUCAAGCCAGUGGAGUACCACCUCACUUUUCCUCACAUAAGGGUCACUUGUACUUGUAUCUUCAAUGCACUUAAUAAGCAAGGUGAAGUCUGGUCUUUAAUAAGUAUUAAUAUUUACCAUAUAUACUGUAUACUUACCAUAUAUAUUUACCAAUAUUUACCAUAUAUACUGUAUAUAUACAAUAUACAUACAUAUAUAUCUGUGUGACAUGGAUAGGCUGUGUUAUGCAGGAGAUCAGAUUAAUGGCUAAACAGAACUGCUGUAAGUUUGAAACACAAUUCAGAAACGAUAUUUUACAGUUAUCUUUAUUUCUAUUAAAGAAACUGUUUUUUUUUUGUUGUUUUUUUUUUUUUUUUUGUUUGUUUGUUUGUUUUUUUUUUGUCACUAAUGCACCAUUUUUAUGUAGAAAUUCAUGUAAGUACAUGUUUUGGACUGCUUUUGUUAUAACAAAAAAGGCAAGCAACCAACCAAACAUAACCCCCCCCACACACUAUUUAAUGUUUGGGGAAAAAAAAAAAAAAAAAAAAAAGAUACAAAGGGGAAUUUUGUCUUACUUUCAUUAGGAUAAGAGGUAUUUUACAUUUUGCUAAAGUCACAAUUUUGUACUUUGCUCAAGUUAAAGAGUGAUUAAAGAACUGACAUCUUGGUAAACUAUCCCUGAGGUUCUCUCAUCUUAUGAUGUUUCAUCUCUUGGAAACCUUUGAGAAUGUUUCCAAUUGUUAUUUGAUGUUGUGCCAUCUAUUUUACAUGAAAAAAUUGAUUUUUAUUUCAUUCAGUUUUGGUGAUAGUGUUUAGUUUUUAGAAAUAAUUAAGAGCAAGUAUUUAGAAGAAUUUGAGAGAGAUGAUAUAAACGAUCAACAGCCAGUAUUUAAAAAUGUAUGUCUAAUU
rnacentral:lncRNA from 1 species